AAACUUGUAUGUUUCUGAGAAGUUUAUUUUGUAUUGGUCAUUUUAAUACGUUCAGUUUAUUUAUUUAUUUUUUGGGGCAUUUUUGCGCCCGAUUAUUUAUUUAUUUAUUCAAUUUUUGUUCGAAUAAUUUCAUUUUUUGGCCAAAAUAAUUGGAAGAGAUAUUUAGAAUUAUAUGUUAUUUUUUAUUGGAUUUUAAUUUGUUUUUUUUAAUUUAAUUAAGUUAUUUCGUUACUAAAUUUUAAUUGAAGGACCAACCAUAAUGCAACACUUCAUCUUUUAUUUAUUUGUUUAUUUUUUUAUUUUUUUAUGCUAGAUUAUUUUAAUUUGGACCAUUAAAUUUGUGACACAUGGAAAUUGUUUAGAUUUUUUUGUUUUUUUCUUUCCACGUGACUCUCUCUCCUUUCUAUUUGUUUUGCCUCAAAUAUCUGAUAUCACGAGAAGAUAUUUGGUGCUUUUCUUUUUCACACGUGAAUUUUAAGACCUUUCUUUUAAAAAAAUAUCAAUCAUAACUCAUCUGCUAUGAAUCCAUCAUAACUCAUCUGCUACGAAUCCAUCAUAAAUCUUCUGCUGUCACAUCCAUCAUCAACUCUCAAAUAACAGACCAUCGA
rnacentral:lncRNA from 1 species